rnacentral:tRNA from 1 species
AGGAUUAUAUUUAAUUAUAAUAUUUGAUUUGCAGUCAAAAGGUAUUUCAUAUAUAAUGAAAUUAAUCUUU